rnacentral:rRNA from 1 species
UGCGUAGGCGGAAAAUUAAGUCAGUGAUGAAAUCCUGCAGCUCAACUGUAGAACUGUCAUUGAUACUGAUUUUCUUGAAUUUAGUUGAGGUAGGCGGAAUGUGUAAUGUAGCGGUGAAAUGCUUAGAUAUUACACAGAACACCGAUUGCGAAGGCAGCUUACUAAGCUAACAUUGACGCUGCGGCACGAAAGCGUGGGGAGCGAACAGGAUUAGAUACCCUGGUAGUCC